UACAGAGGGGGCAAGCGUUGUUCGGAAUUACUGGGCGUAAAGGGCGCGUAGGCGGCCUGCUAAGUCGAACGUGAAAUCCCCGGGCUCAACCCGGGAACUGCGUCCGAUACUGGCAGGCUUGAAUUCGGGAGAGGGAUGCGGAAUUCCAGGUGUAGCGGUGAAAUGCGUAGAUAUCAGGAGGAACACCGGUGGCGAAGGCGGGUCUCUGGGCCGAUACUGACGCUGGAGGAGCGAAAGCGUGGGGAGCAAACAGG
rnacentral:rRNA from 1 species